CGAACGAACGCUGGCGGCGUGGAUUAGGCAUGCAAGUCGAACGGAACUUCUAGCUUUUCGGAAGUUUAGUGGCGGAAGGGUGAGUAACACGUGGGUUACCUGCCCUAGGGCUCGGGAUAACCUGUCGAAAGACGGGCUAAUACCGGAUACGUCUCAUACUUUUCGAAGUAUGAGGGAAAGAUGGGGAUCCGUAAGGACCUAUCACCCUUGGAUGGGCCUGCGGCCUAUCAGCUAGUUGGUGAGGUAAUGGCUCACCAAGGCUAAGACGGGUAGCUGGUCUGAGAGGAUGGUCAGCCACACUGGGACUGAGACACUGCCCAGACACCUACGGGUGGCUGCAGUCGAGAAUCUUUCGCAAUGGGGGAAACCCUGACGACGCGACGCCGCGUGGAGGAUGAAGGUCUUCGGAUUGUAAACCGCUUUCAGCAGGGACGAAGGGUUUCUGACGGUACCUGCAGAAGAAGCACCGGCUAACUACGUG
rnacentral:rRNA from 1 species